AGUAACACGUGAGCAACCUGCCUUUCAGUGGGGGACAACAUUUGGAAACGAAUGCUAAUACCGCAUAAGACCACAGUGUCGCAUGGCACAGGGGUCAAAGGAUUUAUCCGCUGAAAGAUGGGCUCGCGUCCGAUUAGCCAGAUGGUGAGGUAACGGCCCACCAUGGCGACGAUCGGUAGCCGGACUGAGAGGUUGAACGGCCACAUUGGGACUGAGACACGGCCCAGACUCCUACGGGAGGCAGCAUG
rnacentral:rRNA from 1 species